AUACGGAGGGUCCAAGCGUUAUCCGGAUUCAUUGGGUUUAAAGGGUCCGCAGGCGGGAAAAUAAGUCAGUGGUGAAAGCCUACAGCUCAACUGUAGAACUGCCAUUGAUACUGUUUUUCUUGAGUAUAGAUGAAGUGGGCGGAAUAUAUCAUGUAGCGGUGAAAUGCAUAGAUAUGAUAUAGAACACCGAUUGCGAAGGCAGCUCACUAAACUAUUACUAACGCUCAGGGACGAAAGCGUGGGGAGCGAACAGGAUUAGAUACCCUAGUAGUCC
rnacentral:rRNA from 1 species